UAGGGUGCAAGCGUUAAUCGGAAUUACUGGGCGUAAAGCGUGCGCAGGCGGCUUUGCAAGUCAGAUGUGAAAUCCCCGGGCUUAACCUGGGAACUGCAUUUGUGACUGCAUGGCUGGAGUGCGGCAGAGGGGGAUGGAAUUCCGCGUGUAGCAGUGAAAUGCGUAGAUAUGCGGAGGAACACCGAUGGCGAAGGCAAUCCCCUGGGCCUGCACUGACGCUCAUGCACGAAAGCGUGGGGAGCAAACAGG
rnacentral:rRNA from 1 species